CUCAGGGCGCCACAUUGCUCCCAGCUCCCAUGCCUACUCACCACCCAGCCAACUGCCUCCCCUGAAUCUCCACAUGGAUCCAGUACAAAGGCAGGCUCAGAGUGGAGAAGAGUCUUGUCUGAAGUCACCAAGUGCGUAAGCGGCAAUCACAGAACCAGAAACCAGGACUCCUCCUGCUCAUCAUGCCACCUUGUAGCUUCCUGGAGCUCCAAAUGCCUGGACCCUGAAAUGGUGUCACAGACUUCUGCUUGUGAUUUGCGGCUGAGACUUGGAGCUCCAGCUUUGGCUUCCAGAAUCUCUGAAUUGACAGGUAUUGGGGCAAGGUAGACACUUCUGACAUCUUUCUUGGGUCAAACAAUCAUAUGUGCUCAAAAGAUGUCUUCAUUCUGAAAAAAGGAGUAUUCUCUAGACAAGUGCAUUACCUAGUGGACCACAGGAGUGAGUGAGAACAGGGAAGGAAGAAGGCAAAAGUGGUUGUGUUUUGCAAAUUAGAUGAUGAUAAGGAUAAUUGCUGCAGUUCCCUUUCCUAGAGGUAGUACUCAGUGAGUGGGAUAUCCUGCUCAGAGAGAGCCCAACCUGUCCACUCAUUCUCAUGCCUGAUCAUCUGACAUCUUUGAUAGAGGCCAACAAUAAUAAUUUACAUUUACUGAGCAC
rnacentral:lncRNA from 1 species